UGUUGCUGCGCCAUGAUGUGAGAGCUUAGCUUCUGCUGCUCCUGGUCCAGCCACCUCCAGCCACCAUGCCUCCUGGCCAUGAAGGACUGUAAUUUCCCUGGAACCCCAGAGUCCACGUUGUUUACACCACACUAUCGCCCUCAGGUGUCUAGAUAACACUGACUGCUGGCCUAGAGGUCACUUCCGCAGAUGAAGCAAACCCCGGAGCAGGAGCAGCCAAGCUUAGGACAGUGGCGUUCACAGGGCAGCCGGGGGCUCUGCAGGCAUCUUUCCCAGGCUCAGCACGGAGGAAAGCAGACAAAAUCGGCAUUUAUUUGGGGUGGUCCCUCAAGUAACCUGCGAGUGGGAGGAUCGAGUGGCACCCGACAAGUCCCAGCAGCUGCGACUUCCAGCUGCUCUGCUCGCCUGGUUCCCGGCACCCACAGUUCGGCUCCGGGGUAGCGGUGGGAGGCCGGGCUUCAGCGGCCGGACAGAGUGGGAGCCAGUGCGGGGAGGGCAGCCCGGCGGCCUGGAGCUGGACGUGUCCGGAUCGUCCCCUGCAGACAGGGGCUGCAGGUCGUCCGGGGGCCGACCAUGCUGGUGACCGUCUACCUGUCUUUUGUGGGCCUCCUGGCCUCCUGCCUGGGCCUGGAGCUGUCAAGACGCCGGGCUAAGCCCCCUGGAAGGGCUUGCAGCAAUGCGUCCUUCCUUCAGUUUCAACUAGACUUCUACCAGGUCUACUUCCUGGCCCUGGCAGCUAACUGGCUCCAAGCCACCUACCUGCAUAAACUCUAUCAACAUUACCACUUCUUGGAGGGUCAAAUCGCUAUCCUCUACGUUUGUGGCCUCGCCUCCACGUUCCUCUUUGGCCUUGUGGCCUCUUCCCUUGUGGACUGGCUGGGUCGUAAGAAGUCUGGUGUCCUCUUCUCCCUCACUCACUCUCUGUGCUGCUUGACCAAACUCUCUCAAGACUUCUUUGUGCUGCUCGGAGGCCAAGCCCUGGUGGGCUGUCCACCGCCCUCUUCUUCUCAGCCUUUGAGGCCGGGUACGUCCAUGAGCACGUGGAACAUGCCGAGUGGAUCCCAGCCACCUUUGCCCGGGCUGCCUUCUGGAACCAUGUGCUGGCUGUGGCGGCAGGUGUUGCUGCUGAGGCCGUGGCUAGCUGGAUGGGACUGGGACCCGUAGCACCCUUUGUGGCCGCCACCCCUCUGCUGGCUCUGACUGGGGUCUUGGCCCUUUGAAACUGGGAAGAGAACUAUGACAGGCAGCAGGCCUUCUCCAGGACCUGUGCUGGAGGCCUGCGCUGCCUCCUGUCUGACCGCCGAGUGCUGCUGCUGGGCACCAUACAGGCCCUGUUUGAGAGUGUCAUCUUCAUAUUUGUCUUCCUCUGGACACCUGUGCUGGACCCACAUGGGACCCCACUGGGCAUUGUCUUCUCUAGCUUCAUGGCUGCCAGCCUUCUGGGUUCUUCCCUGUACCUCACUGCUGCCUCCAAGAGGUACCACCGUCAACCCAUGAACCUGCUUGUCCCUUGCUGUUCUCAUCAUUGUCUUCUCUCUCUUCAUGUUGACUUUCUCCACCAGCCCAGGCCGGGAGGGUCCUGUGGAAUCCUUCAUCGCCUUUCUACUUAUCGAGCUGGCCUGUGGUCUCUACUUUCCCAGCAUGAGCUUCCUGCGGAGAAAGGUGAUCCCUGAGACAGAGCAGGCUGGGUACGCAACUGGUUCCGGGUGUCCCUGCACUUACUAGCCCACUUAGGGCGUCUUGUCCUCCAAGACAGUGAUCGGAAAACAGGCACUCGGAACAUGUUCAGCAGCUGCUCUGCUGUCAUGCUGAUGGCUUUGCUGGCAGUGGUGGGACUCUUCACUGUGGUGAGGCACGAUGCUGAGUUCCCUUCACCCACUGGGAAGCCCUAUGCCCCUGAGCUCUGA